GACGAACGCUGGCGGCGUGCUUAACACAUGCAAGUCGAACGGAAAGGCCCUGCUUUUGUUUGGUGCUCGAGUGGCGAACGGGUGAGUAACACGCGAGUAACCUGCCCCUGACUUUGGGAUAACUUCAGGAAACUGGGGCUAAUACCGGAUAGGAACUUUUGCUGCAUGGUGGGGGUUGGAAAGUUUCGGCGGUUGGGGAUGGUCUCGCGGCUUAUCAGCUUGUUGGUGGGGUAGUGGCUUACCAAGGCUUUGACGGGUAGCCGGCCUGAGAGGGUGACCGGCCACAUUGGGACUGAGAUACGGCCCAGACUCCUACGGGAGGCAGCAGUGGGGAAUAUUGCACAAUGGGCGGAAGCCUGAUGCAGCAACGCCGCGUGCGGGAUGACGGCCUUCGGGUUGUAAACCGCUUUCGCCUGUGACGAAGCGUGAGUGACGGUAAUGGGUAAAGAAGCACCGGCUAACUACGUG
rnacentral:rRNA from 1 species